rnacentral:tRNA from 1 species
UGCCAGAUGGUCCAGGAAGAUAUCGAUCUCCCGCACCGCUGGACCCCGGUCAGUCCGUGUUCCGCUGCGCGGCCUGGCGGC